CACUUCUCCACUGGCAAAGGACGGACGCUGUCAAAUCUGGCAGAGCAGAGGUCGUGAGUUAGAAACAUGGGGCUCUUGGAAGGCAAGGGAACAUUUGGAAGGCAAGGAUUUAUUCUUGGAAGGCAAGUGGGAACUUGGAAGGCAAGGAUUAUUCUUGGAAGGCAAGGUGCAACUUGGAUUGGCUUGCUUGGCACUUUGUCAGACCAGGUGGGGAGCGCUCGGACCCUGGCCAGUUGGAGGCACAUCCUGCGAUUAACCGG
rnacentral:lncRNA from 1 species